CCCAGCGGGGAACCGGAACUCCCACCCCUAACCAGCAGUUAACGACCAACUCCCACCCCCUCUCCAAACUUGGGAGUCAACAGGAACUGAGUGAGAAACCUGGAUUCUUGAGCAUUUAUUCCAGAGAAAUGAAAACUUAUAUUUACCAAAAAAUCUUUACACAGACUAGUAGCUUUAUUUGAAGUCACUAAUCACGAGAAACAAUCCAGAUGUCCUUCAACUGGUGAAUGGUUAAACAAACUGGAAUAUUACUCAUAAUAUAAACAAACUCAUAAUAUAAACAAACUUGGAAUAUGACUCAGCAAUAAAAGCGAAAGAACUACUGAUACGUAGAACAACCAACAUGGAUGGAUCUCGAGAGACUUACUGUGAUGAGGUGGCGGCAUGGUUAAGCUGAUGGAUCGCUAAUCUGUCAUGCCCUGCACACGUGGAUUCAAAUCCCAUUGCUGUCAAUUUCGUGACAUUGUGGCUACAGAGUGAGGUUUCAAUGCUUUGUGGGUGAGAAGAUUCACCAGGUUUUGUUGGAAGUGGCUGCAGGGGAGAAAAAAAGAAGAACAGGAGUGUAUUAUUUCUUAAAAUUGCAUGUGAAUCUAAAAUUACCUCAAAAUUAAAAUCUUAAUUGAAAUAAAUGCGGAGCUAAUUAGGUGGUUUUUCUGGUUUUCAAGAAGUUGCAACAUCAGAAUGGAUUGGAAGUAAGAACCUGAAGGAAGAAGGCCAAAUAGGAGACAAAAAUCAAGUUAUCAGCCAUUCGUUGGAAAACCAACUCAUCAUAAGUAUUGAAAUAUCUAUUCCAUUGAUAUCAUUUUAUGUCAUAAGAAUAGUUGACUGAUUAGUGACAGUCAACAGUCAAUAAUUGACUGAUUAUCCAAGACACGACUGUCCUUUACCAAAAAGAGCUCAGUCUUCCCUCGGCUGAGGUUUCCUUCUCUGUAGAACUCAAAGACCAGCAGAAUGGAAAUAUUGAUUAAAACACAAACCGUAUUUAGCUCAAUUACUGAAGCAGUAACAGAAACAGAAUGGAUCAUUGCAAUGAUUUUACCGUAAACAUGUUCUUUUAACCAACAGGAGGUAUGUAUGAAGCAUCUAUAUGUCAAAUGACAAAAUUUACUUUAAGCAUAAUCUUUAAGAUCUGGAGAGUGGGACAUGCCCAAACUCAGCUAUGGAAGACAUUAAAUAUGAAACGCUUUUCUUUUAAGACUGUCCACUGCCCUUUUCUGCAACAGCUUCUCCCUUUUGCUAAUUUCUUGGCCUCCAUCUGUCAAAUAUUUUCUGCUAAGGGCUCCAGGAGGUCCAACCAGGAAGAACCUCUUGUGCUCAGGGUAAUCUGAGAGUAUUAAUCUUGUGGAGUAGUUCUCAAACUUUGACCACAGAAAUCUAGGAUCAUAGGUCUGUGAGAUCAUUUUUAGAUAUCUGUAAAGUUAAAACUCUUUUUUAUAUUAUUAUUUUAUUUUAUUUUAUUUUGCUUUAUUUCAUUUCAUUUUAUUGUUUUACCUUUCAUUGUUUCAUCUGCAGUAAUGAUGUAAAAGCCAUGAUAGGUAAAGCUGUUGACAUCUUUGUCUAAAUCAAAGCAGUGACAUGAAAACUACUGUCUCUGUACAUUUUACUGCCACAAACUGGCUGUUUUUCUUAAAGUCACUUUCACCUAAGAAUGCCUUUGAUGAGGCAAUAAGUAUUUAUUUCAUUAAAUUUCAAUCCUUGAGGGCAACUCUUUUAACAUCCUGUGAGACAAAAUGAGACGUUUGCAUAGAGAACUGCGGCUGCAUUCCAAAGAAUGGUUGUCUUUAGUACAAGCUCUUGUGUGAUUAAGCUGUGAGCUCAACAAGCUGAUUUUUUAUUAGAACCACAUUUUUACUUGAACAAAUAUCUGACAAACUAUGGUGAUUCACACUUGGAAUAUUUUUGUGAAAAUGAACAGAGUGAGCCAAAUAGUUAUUGUUGUCAAUGAUAAAAUUCAAGCUGUCAAGCAAACAUUGGAGUUUGUGAAAACUUGUCUCAGCACUGCAAGCCUGCUGGCUUCCUAAUACUUAAGACUUUCCUGAUGAGACUGAUGGUGAUAUUAGCGAAUAUAGUGUUCUGGUCUUGUGUAUUCAAUUUGGAAGAUCUUUACAACUUAGCAAACCAGCAUUUGUCAAAUGAUCAGUAUAUGGUGUUACAAAAUAAAACAUGGGAGAAGACCUGUUCAAAAUGCAAGAUAGAACAAUGGAUUGCAAUGUAUCACAAUGCAAAACGUGAUUAGUAUGGCUUCAGAUUCUGUAUUGCAGCUAAUCAUCAAAAAAAAAAAAACAAAAAAAACAAGUUGUUGGGACGCCUGGGUGGCUCAGUUGGUUGUGUAUCUGACUCUUGAUUUCGUCUCAGGGCAUGAUCCCAAGGUGGUGGGAUCGAGCCCCCACAUUGGACUCGUCACUGAGCGUGGGGUCUGCUUAAGAUUCUCUAUAUCUCUCCCUCUGCCCCCACUCAUGCUUUCUCUCUCUCUAAAAUAAAAAUUAAAAAAAAAAAAACCCAACAAGUUGUGAAGUUUUGGUGUCGUAUCAAAAAGCAUAUCCGCAAUUAUUUGAAAGGACUACUAAAAUACUCCUCCCUUUUCCAACUCUAUCUGAGAGUUCAAUUUUCCUCAAAUACUUCCAUCAAAACAACACAUUAAAACAGAUCAAAAGUAAACAGUAAAUCAGCGAAAACAGCUGCAAUCUAUUCAGCAGACACGAGACAGUUACAAAAUGUAAAGUGACACCUUUCUCACAAAAUUUUUAUUUGGAAAAAUACAGUUACCUUUUCAUAAAAUAUGCAACUCGUGUUAAUAUCUAACAGGUUUGUUAUCAUUUUAAAACACAUUAAUAAAUAUGUUUAAAUUUU